rnacentral:lncRNA from 1 species
CCUUCUUUAAGGGAGUUUGAAUAAAGAACCUACAUGUUCGAUGAUAAAGGGUCAGCUAAGUAAAUGAUGGUUUAGCUGGACAAAGAUAAAGAAUCAUAAUUCCCCCAGGGAUGGAAGGCUUCCCACAUAUUCCAUAAGGAAGGAGUAAUUUCUGCCUCUUUCUUCAUGUAUUUCGCACCACAAGGCUAUAAGCCCCACCACACAGAGGAGGAUGGCAACGUCAGAAGGUGGAGGUCACCUGCCCCAGGGGACGUGGCCGAGGGACCAAGGUGUGGAUCCCAAGCCCCGUGCUGUGCACAUGUCCACCACGCAAUGGGACGACUCCUGGUGCAGCCAUCGGGUUACCAGGUAAUGGCACAGAAGGAUGCUGGUGGCAGAGUGUUGAGUGAAAAAAGGAAAGAAGAAAAAAAAAAGCAGUCAAGCACGUCCUAUUUUUGCAAAAAUGAAAAGCACAUUCAGCGUGCAGAGGAAAAAGGCCAGAAGGAUUUACUAUGCACGUGAGCAGGGAGGAUACCUCCGAGGGUGGACUCACUCAUCUUGAUUUUCUACACGAACCUAGAGAGCUUCGGAAAUCUGAACAAAAUAAGAGAAAACAAACCCACACGGCCAGGCCUGUGCUGACCACACCCGCCUCUGACUUUGUUCUGAACGGUGGGGAACGGCCAGCGCCGCAGCCUCGGGACCCCAGGCGCCUGACUCCCCCGCUGCCCUUGGUCUCCUCCCCAGCGCUGCUCCCGCUCUUCCGUGGGCAUCGAUUUUUCCAUCCUUCAGAGAAGCGCCUGAGGAAAAGGAAAGAGCAUCUCUGGAUCAAUGAGCAGAGCCCUGCAGCCAGGCCUACCUUCUGCUUUUUGCUUUUCUCGGCAUCCAGUGCCAGCCCCCACCUCUCCCACUCCCAGCAAAGACUCUGGCUCUAGCUGGGCUUCAGCUCUGACGUUCCCUGGGCCUUGAAGCGGACUCAGGGCACAUUAAGCAUCAACCUUGGCUGGAUGCCGUGGCCUCUUUGCCGCAUCUUCAGUGGGGACCGAGCGCACAGCCACACAUCACAGGCUUGGCCCGGGACCUGUGCGGGACAGAUGCACCACGAUGCUUCCGAUGGUGACGAUGGCGAGACGUUCCUCGGGUGGCAGCAGACCAGCGUGACCCAGAGGACGCACGGUUUAGGCGUCACCACCAAGGCGAAGCUAGGAGGGUCCCCGGGGCGCCUCUGGAGGAGGCGGUGCGGGAACGGCAGAACACACGACGUGGGCAACCGCUUUCCUGUCUUCGCUCUUCCCACCCAAGCCCCAGGGGUGGAAAACAAUCCACACGCCAGAAACCUGACGCUGCUGCCGAGCUGGAAAAGCGGGUUCUGGAAGGGAAGGAUGGGGGAGGGGGCUCCCGAGGCCCCAAGGCCGCUGCCUGGGAGCGGUUCUCAUCAGCCAAAUGGCCCUUGGUGCCCCUGGACGGUCACUUGGGAGGGUCCCUCUCCGGGAGACCGGCUCUUGCCAAGGCCACCUGCGCCACGACCACUGCAGGUCUUGGCGCUCCUGGGAGCCGCCCGGAAGGGCAGUCCGUGCAGGCGGUGGGGUGGAGGAGGAAGCCCGGGUCGCUGCAGAGCCUCGCCAGCCGUAGGA